rnacentral:lncRNA from 1 species
GGGAACUUCCUGCCAAGCGUGAGAACGCUGCGAACUUCCCGGAGGCCAAAAGUUGAGGGGGCUGAGCGGAGCGUGAUUGGGGAGGGGCGGGCCUGGGAGACCUUGGGCGCCUCCUCUGAAAGCCUCUUGAUGAGGAAAUGAACUCAGAGAAGAUAAAUGAUUUGCCCAAAGUCACAUGAGACAGAAAUAUAACUUGAAAUCAAAUUUGUAAUUUUAAGUUCCUGAUGUUUUUACACUAUGCUCCCUAAGUGAAUCUGUGGACAUACAUUUCCAUUAGUAACCUUACUCA